rnacentral:tRNA from 1 species
GGGGUUGUAGCUCAGUGGUAGAGUGCUUGCGGCACACACAUGAGGCCCUGGGUUCAAUCCUCAGCACCACA